rnacentral:rRNA from 1 species
CAGGGAAUAUUAGUAAUGGGCGAAAGCCUGAACUAGCAACGCCGCGUGUGCGAAGAAGGCCUUCGGGUUGUAAAGCACUUUUUGAGAGGAUGAGGAAGGACGGUACUCUCAGAAUAAGUCUCGGCUAACUACGUGCCAGCAGCCGCGGUACACGUAGGAGGCGAACGUUAUCCGGAUUUACUGGGCGUAAAGCGCGUGUAGGUGGUUUGGUAAGUAGGGCGUGAAAGCUCCUGGCUCAACUGGGAGAGGCCGUUCUAAGCUGCCGAACUAGAGGAUGGUAGAGGGAGGUGGAAUUCCGGGUGUAGCGGUGGAAUGCGCAGAUAUCCGGAGGAACACCAGUGGCGAAAGCGGCCUCCUGGACCACUCCUGACACUCAGACGCGAAAGCUAGGGUAGCAAACGG